UCCUCAGGUAGAAUAAUUCUCACCUGCUCCUCUAUUCAGAGGUCAGACAGUGCAUGGUGAUUAGAGUUUGCAUGAUUUAUGAUUAAUGUCUUUGAGUGAUUAGGGCUCACAACACCCUAAUUGCUCCUACCAU